CUUGGCCUUGACCUUGGACUUCCACAGCUCCUUGUUUAUAAAUCAUAUUCUCAGGUAUUUUAGAAUUGUUUGAUGGUGAAGCUAGAAUGUGAAGACAAGAUCUAGGUUUUUUCUGGUUGAUUUUUUAGAAUUGUUUAAUGGUGGAUAAAGUGAAGAUCUCUAGGGGGU